rnacentral:tRNA from 1 species
AGGUGAUUAGCUCAGUUGGUUAGAGCGCUUCGUUCACAUCGAAGAGGUCACUGGUUCGAGUCCAGCAUUACCUA